rnacentral:rRNA from 1 species
GGUGCAUGGCCGCGGGAUUCGGGUUACCUUGUUACGACUUCGUCCCAAUCGCCAGUCCCACCUUCGACAGCUCCCUCCACAAGGGUUGGGCCACCGGCUUCGGGUGUUACCGACUUUCGUGACGUGACGGGCGGUGUGUACAAGGCCCGGGAACGUAUUCACCGCAGCAAUGCUGAUCUGCGAUUACUAGCGACUCCGACUUCAUGGGGUCGAGUUGCAGACCCCAAUCCGAACUGAGACCGGCUUUUUGAGAUUCGCUCCACCUUGCGGUAUCGCAGCUCAUUGUACCGGCCAUUGUAGCACGUGUGCAGCCCAAGACAUAAGGGGCAUGAUGACUUGACGUCGUCCCCACCUUCCUCCGAGUUGACCCCGGCGGUCUCCCGUGAGUCCCCAGCACCACAAGGGCCUGCUGGCAACACGGGACAAGGGUUGCGCUCGUUGCGGGACUUAACCCAACAUCUCACGACACGAGCUGACGACAGCCAUGCACCACCUGU